rnacentral:rRNA from 1 species
UACGUAGGGUGCAAGCGUUGUCCGGAAUUAUUGGGCGUAAAGAGCUCGUAGGCGGUCUGUCGCGUCGGCUGUGAAAACCCGGGGCUCAACCCCGGGCCUGCAGUCGAUACGGGCAGACUAGAGGACGGUAGAGGCGUGUGGAAUUCCGGGUGUAGUGGUGAAAUGCGUAGAGAUCCGGAGGAACACCAGUGGCGAAGGCGACACGCUGGGCCGUACCUGACACUGAACCGCGACAGCAUGGGGAGCAAACAGG